GACGAACGCUGGCGGCGUGCUUAACACAUGCAAGUCGAACGGAAAGGCCCUGCUUUUGUGGGGUGCUCGAGUGGCGAACGGGUGAGUAACACGUGAGUAACCUGCCCUUGACUUUGGGAUAACUUCAGGAAACUGGGGCUAAUACCGGAUAGGAGCUCCUGCUGCAUGGUGGGGGUGGGAAAGUUUCGGCGGUUGGGGAUGGACUCGCGGCUUAUCAGCUUGUUGGUGGGGUAGUGGCUUACCAAGGCUUUGACGGGUAGCCGGCCUGAGAGGGUGACCGGCCACAUUGGGCUUGAGAUACGGCCCAGACUCCUACGGGAGGCAGCAGUGGGGAAUAUUGCACAAUGGGCGGAAGCCUGAUGCAGCAACGCCGCGUGCGGGAUGACGGCCUUCGGGUUGUAAACCGCUUUCGCCUGUGACGAAGCGUGAGUGACGGUAAUGGGUAAAGAAGCACCGGCUAACUACGUG
rnacentral:rRNA from 1 species